UCUCCACCGUCAGAUCGGUUUUCGAUUCCAAAUCCUGAAGAGCCCGCUUCCACCUAGGCCUCCCUCUUCUAACCCGACCGUUCCUGAGAGUUCGCUAUCACAUACUGCUUUUUUUACCUGUGUUGUUGAAUCCCGAUCCAAGAGACUGGCAGAUGGUUUAAGUAGCUGGUUCCGGAGGCAGAAGCUAACAGGUGCAGCUGGGGAGCGCUUGAAGGAAGCACGCAAUAUCAACCGACCACUCUCACAACUCGGAUCGGAAUGAUGUUGCUCAUCUGAAAGAAGGCAGCAUCAUGUGCUUGAAGACUUGUAGAGUAUGGAGAGUGAAUGGUCAAAUUUGAGGAAUCGUAUCUGCUAGCUUUGUAGUCCAAACAGGUUGUCUGGCUAACUUUCUUUUUCUCAUUUUCAACCAAUUAGGAUAGCUGUCAUGUUUUUUGAAUUCCUUGCCAUUCUUGAGUAGUAACUUGGCAUUUGUUUAUUAAAAGGUUUUAAUUAAGAUUAUGGUGUUCAUAACUUUGUAGUCACACUAAAUAACUUAAAAGAGUUAGUUUGACAGUUGACAAAC